rnacentral:rRNA from 1 species
ACGCUCUCCCCAAGGACACAAGCCAUGCAUGCCCGCACACCCGGGAAGCGGCGGACGGCUCAGGACAACGGUUGCACCCCCCGCGGCGGUCCCUGCUAGCCGGACACCGCUGGCAACCCGGCGCCAAGACGUGCGCGCAAGUGCGGACGCCCGCGGGCGAGCUAGCGUGACGCAGAU